UACGAAGGGUGCAAGCGUUACUCGGAAUUACUGGGCGUAAAGCGUGCGUAGGUGGUUUGUUAAGUCUGCUGUGAAAGCCCCGGGCUCAACCUGGGAAUGGCAGUGGAUACUGGCAAGCUAGAGUGCGGUAGAGGGGUGUGGAAUUCCCGGUGUAGCGGUGAAAUGCGUAGAGAUCGGGAGGAACACCAGUGGCGAAGGCGGCACCCUGGACCAGCACUGACACUAAGGCACGAAAGCGUGGGGAGCAAACAGG
rnacentral:rRNA from 1 species